AAAUCAUCCAAUUUUGUGAAAAAAAACAUAUAGUUAAUACUAAUGAAGAGGACAUUAUGUCAGCUAGUCUACUAUAUUUCAAGGAGAUUUUUGAUGACUAUCUUUCAUACGCCUCGUUUUUACAAAGUAAACCAGAUAAGUAUAUACACACAUGUAAGUGUUUUUUUUUUUUUUUUGAUAAAUAAUAUUAGUAUAUGAUCAGGACAAUAUACUUAAACUAAAAUGUAGAUACAUAAUAUAAAGACUUAGAUGUACCAUAUAUUAUUGUGCAUACUGUAUUAGUGGACGGAGGGAGAUACAUGUAUCUCUAUAUUUUCGAUGCCAAUAAGAUAAAUUGUACUUAGUUAUAGUUUCUAAUACGUUAUAUUUAACUAUCAUAAUCCUUAUACAUAUGAACGUACAUAUAAUCGUGUUUAAAGAAAUUCGAAUUAUAGAGAUUCGUGAAAAAAAAAUUCGAAUUGUAGAGUGUGCCUCACCGACAGACAUUUCGAAUUAUCGAGGGGACCGGAAUACAUGUAUUUUUUUCUAAUUAUAGAGGUUUUCUCAGGGGACUUAGCGU